GCCAGUAGGAAUCAGAUUCACUCUACACGGAGACCUCUACAGCACAGAGAUCUAGUCAUGGCACCUACAAUCACUUCAGCUGUGAUCUACUCUAACGAGCACCUGACUCUGGCCAACAAGAAAGCCAGUGGUGGAAAAGUUACGCAGAGAUCGUAUCAAGAACAGCACUGAGCAGAUCAAGUCUCUCCUGGGUCCAGAGAUCCUCAACCAGCAGCCAAACCAAGCUGGAGAAAGCCAACAUCUUGGAGAUGACAGUUUGGUUAGUGAGACGACAGCAACAGAACCAGCCAGUGAGCUCCUCCUCUUGCUCAGCAGCUGUCAAUCAGGGUUACUCAGGUGUGUCCAUGAGAUUGUGCACUUCCUGUCCAAGGAUGAGGUGAAGACACAGUCCCAGAGAAGACUGCUGAGCCACUUCCAGAGCCUGCAUCCAUUCUCUGAUAAGAACAGGAGGGAGAGUGACCUGCCUCAGUUCAGCUCCCAGCCCAGCACAGCAUCAGCAAAGAGAAGAGUCCAGUCAACAUCACUCUCUGGAGUCUCUGGUAGAGUCCUACAGACUGGAACUCCACUCUCAAACAAACUAAAUGGACCAUGUUGGUCUAGCAUUAAUGUGAUGGACAGUGAUCAGAGAUCUUCUUCAUAUUCUGCUUGUGCAGGUUGUUUUAAAAGUUGUGUUUCGAUUGAAACUUUUCAUUUCAGUUGUACUGAGCAAGUAAAAAGUUUUCGCUAAGGAAACAAUGAAAUCUACAAACACUGCAUUUUUGCAAUGUUAAGAACCUUUAUGUUCUGUGAAGCAUACGUUGAUUAUGUUGAUCAGUUGUUUAUUCAUGAUAAAAAUAAACUUCAAUGGUCCUCCAUGAGGACUUUUAACCCAAAAUGGGUAUUUAAUCAUAUUUUUGUGAUGGUCUAUUACCGAUCUGUUUAAAGGUCAACACGUAUUCAAGAAUAAGCAAUUUUGUUACAACUUAAUUUUUAAAGAUCAGACUUCAUGUGUGAAAAUGUUGCUCACAUUAUUAUUAUGAAAUUGAUGUAUAUACUUCCUAUGAUAGAAAAUGGUUCUCUCUUAUAAAAACUUGCGUAUUUUAUAAAGACAGUAACUGUGUAUCCUAUACUAUGCCAGAGUAUCAUGUUUCUUGGAGAUUUAUUCAAGUUCUGGUUGAGAUGUUUAAUCACUUUAUUUCUAUUGAAAUAUUUACCUUAAAUUAAGAUAUUCGAUGAUGUAGUUCAGUGAGUCAGUCUGAAUAAACACACAAAUCAUCAAAUUAAA